CUAUACUUGGAAGUUGCCUCUCUUGGAGUGUUCAGUGAGCCUUCAUCCUCUGAAAGUGGUAAUCUCUUUUUAAUGCAGUGGAGCCAGCUCAGACGUGGCACAGCUGCAUGGCUGCAGUGAGGUCUGAAGGGACAGAAAUGGCAGCAGGGUGUCUCUGGUACAAAUAGACAUACAGAGCUGCUUCCACUUUGCUCCUGUUCUGCUUGGUUGAACCACAAGAGUAUUUACACAGACAUCAAGAUAACAAAAAAGGGCAGUGAUGUUUUAGCCGAUAUCUGCCUAUUUUACGGAAAAGCAUCCAGCAGCGGCAUGAAUGUGCACCAGAUGGGUGGCCCGGGGGCCUCCCUCGUUCAGCAGUGCCUAUGGGAGAAGUAGGGGAGAGGAUCUGCUGCAGGCAGUGUGAGCAGGGAGCUGAUGCCAGCAGCAGCGCAGUGGUUCGGCCCACGCUCAGUCUGUGUUGUGCUGCCCAAAUUGCCCACAAGGACCAAUCCUAUUGCCUCUGCCAGUUCUAUGGUGCUGGCCAGCUCUGUGCAUUCCCAGGAUAGCAACAGCGUUAUUGCUGUAUUUUAUGAAGCAGCAUAUUUUGCGGUGCUCCAUCCCGUUCCCCUGAAUCAGCCUCAUCCCCUGUCAUUCAUUAUCUUGGGCCAGGAAGCAAAGCAGAGAUCAUAAUUCAAUGCCCCCCUUUUGGGAGUGGAGAUUUUAGCACCCAGUUCUGCAGUGCAGGCACAUUCUCUUUGGGAUCAAGACUGGAGUCUUUAGGGAGAGGCAGAAGGCAAUAAGAUUUUAUCUUCAUUUUGAGUCUGUUUAAGGUUUAUGUUUAUGAAUGUAUAUAGUUUUCCGAUUGGGAGAAAAAAACACAGCUACAAAUCAAACUUUGAUCCCCUGGAGUUACACAGAGGCAAGCACUAACAAGCAUCUCGUGAACUAAGAAUUGAAUCUCAUCGCACUCCAACCAAGCAAGCUUGAGCAAUUAAGAUUAAGGGUGGAAAAAUGAGACACUGGAAUUAAGGCUUAUGUCUGUAUAUGCUUCCUGCAUUAGCCAUGGAGCCCAAAUGAAGAUUUGUUUCACACCGCAGAGAAAGAACCACGAUGGAGGCUCUGCUUUAAAGAAGCACUGUGAGGGCCAUCUCUGCCAGCUGUGUGGGCUGCAGCACGGACAUGCAGCUGGCGAUGGGAGUGGAGCAGAGCAGAGGGUUGGGCGGCACACAGCAUGCCGGGUGCAGCCACCGACUGCAGUGAGCAUCCAGAGCGGGUGUUUGGUAGCUCAUGGCAUGAGAGUGUUUUGCUGCAGUUCGCUCCAUUAUUAUUAUUAUUUUUUGAUGAUAUUCUUCAGUUCCUUUGAUGUGUGAAAUGUGUUUUUCUUAGCUGCGUUUUAUAGAAAUGCUGCAGACUUCUCUUGACCCACUGCGACUUAAGCAGAGCAGCACGGCAUGCUAAUCGUCUGCUUAACGACCGCCUGCUAUGUCUGCGGAGCUCCUCCCCAGGCACUGCACGCCAUUCCAGGCAGUGCCCGCUGAUCUCCUGCCGCGUUGGGCUCCUGGGGAUGGAUGUGACCGCACGUGGGGAUGGCCCCUUUUGCAACCUGCUGUCCCCACCACACAGACGUUUUGGAUCACAGCUCUUCCAGUAUUCAUGAUUUCAUCAUUUUCCCUUAAUUUCUGAUGGUGCGAUGCUAUCUAGAAUAAAAUCUUUUUGGAGGAUAACCUCUUGAAGGUCUGUACAGAAAGACAAAGAAGAAGGAAGCUCCUGGAGAUGCAGGCAGAAAACCUCAGGCAGGUUGUGAUUUACUUGUAUCAAGAUCCGCUUCACAGUAACAUACAUGUUUUCUAAACACAUGCCUGAGUAUCCUGAUGUU
ensembl:lncRNA